UACGUAGGGGGCAAGCGUUGUCCGGAAUCAUUGGGCGUAAAGAGCGUGUAGGCGGCCCGGUAAGUCCGCUGUGAAAGUCCAGGGCUCAACCCUGGGAUGCCGGUGGAUACUGUCGGGCUCGAGUCCGGAAGAGGAGUGUGGAAUUCCUGGUGUAGCGGUGAAAUGCGCAGAUAUCAGGAGGAACACCAAUGGCGAAGGCAGCACUCUGGGACGUGACUGACACUGAGACGCGAAAGCGUGGGGAGCAAACAGG
rnacentral:rRNA from 1 species